rnacentral:tRNA from 1 species
CCCUCGGUGGUAUAAACAGUUAAUGCACUCAGCUGCUAACUGAAAGAUUGGAAGUUCAAGUCCACCCAGAGGUA